GAUGAACGCUGGCGGCGUGCCUAAUACAUGCAAGUCGAGCGAACGGACGAGAAGCUUGCUUCUCUGAUGUUAGCGGCGGACGGGUGAGUAACACGUGGAUAACCUACCUAUAAGACUGGGAUAACUUCGGGAAACCGGAGCUAAUACCGGAUAAUAUUUUGAACCGCAUGGUUCAAAAGUGAAAGCCGGUCUUGCUGUCACUUAUAGAUGGAUCCGCGCUGCAUUAGCUAGUUGGUAAGGUAACGGCUUACCAAGGCAACGAUGCAUAGCCGACCUGAGAGGGUGUUCGGCCACACUGGAACUGAGACACGGUCCAGACUCCUACGGGAGGCAGCGGUAGGGAAUCUUCCGCAAUGGGCGAAAGCCUGACGGAGCAACGCCGCGUGAGUGAUGAAGGUCUUCGGAUCGUAAAACUCUGUUAUUAGGGAAGAACAUAUGUGUAAGGAACUGUGCACAUCUUGACGGUACCUAAUCAGAAAGCCACGGCUAACUACGUG
rnacentral:rRNA from 1 species